rnacentral:rRNA from 1 species
CCUACGGGAGGCAGCAGUGAGGAAUAUUGGUCAAUGGCCGGAAGGCUGAACCAGCCAUGCCGCGUGAAGGUCAGUGCCCUAUGGGCGUUAAACUUCUUUUGUGCGGGAGCAAUAAUGGUCACGUGUGGCCAGACGAGAGUACCGUACGAAUAAGCAUCGACUAACUCCGUGCCAGCAGCCGCGGUAAUACGGGGGAUGCAAGCGUUAUCCGGAUUUAUUGGGUUUAAAGGGUGCGUAGGCUGUGAGGUAAGUCAGCGGUGAAAUGCCCCCGCGCAACGGGGUGAAGUGCCAUUGAUACUGCCUGGCUGGAAUGCGGAUGCCGUAGGAGGAAUGUGUGGUGUAGCGGUGAAAUGCAUAGAUAUCACACAGAACACCGAUUGCGAAGGCAUCUCACGAAUCCGCGAUUGACGCUGAUGCACGAAAGCGUGGGUAUCAAACAGGAUUAGAUACCCGGGUAGUC